AACGCACAUUGCGCCCGCCAGUAUUCUGGCGGGCAUGCCUGUCCGAGCGUCAUUUCAACCCUCAGGGCCCGUCCGCGGGACCUGGCGUUGGGGAUCGGCCCCCUCACGGAGGCCGGCCCCGAAAUACAGUGGCGGCUCCCCGCGAACACCUCUGCGUAGUAACCAUGCGCCGCAGCUGGGACUAGCGGUGGCGCCUCGCCGUAAAACCCCCAACUUCUCAAGGUUGACCUCGGAUCAGGUAGGAAUACCCGCUGAACUUAA
rnacentral:misc_RNA from 1 species